rnacentral:rRNA from 1 species
UACAGAGGUCUCAAGCGUUGCUCGGAAUCACUGGGCGUAAAGGGUGCGUAGGCGGGUCUUUAAGUCAGGGGUGAAAUCCUGGAGCUCAACUCCAGAACUGCCUUUGAUACUGAGGAUCUUGAGUUCGGGAGAGGUGAGUGGAACUGCGAGUGUAGAGGUGAAAUUCGUAGAUAUUCGCAAGAACACCAGUGGCGAAGGCGGACUCACUGGCCCGAUACUGACGCUGAGGCACGAAAGCGUGGGGAGCAAACAGGG